GCCACUUUAGCUUAGUGGAAGAGUGACUGUUUCGUAAGCAGAAGGUCGUCAGCUCAAACUGACCAGUGGCU